rnacentral:lncRNA from 1 species
AAGUGUCCCUCCAUGGAAGUCUUCUCUGAGCGUUGAAAGCCAGGGAGAGGAAGGGCGUAAAGAUUCGAGCUCAUGUUGCAGGCCCCACGCUUGGGGCCCCCAGCACAGGGGCUCUUAACCGUCUUGAACAAAUGAAUGAAUGAAUGAAUGAACGAACAAGGACACCUGCGUCCUGUCUUCCUCUGAGUUCCGCAUCUUCAGGAGGAGAAGGAAUCCCUGAGCCCGGGAAGGCAGUGGCGUCGCCUGCGCUUGGCCAGGAUUGAGCACCGCAGGGCUGGGCCGGGAGCUCCUGCCCCCUCGGAGUCCGUCUGGGCGACGGGUCCGGCUGCGUUUACUGCGCUCCCGCGGCCGCCCUCUGCAGCCAUCUCCUCGGAAUGAGUCAGGGCGUAGGCAUUUCGGCCCGGCCACUGUUUUGACAAUGCGGAUGAUUAGACAGACAGUUUAUUUAUUUUAUUCUCAUCUUUUGUCCGCACAUCUCCAGACGAGCUCUGCUCAUCAGUGUGGACAAGACGGGGACUUUCUGAUGAGGCAGAAACCGGUCAUGGGAGGAGAAUGAGGGCGUCUCGGAGGCACACGCGCUUGGUCUUCUCCCAGGAUCCUUCUCACUGGAAGCCGGAUCUUUCCUGUUGUACUCCAGGCCAGAGAAACAGACCGGAGUCGCAGCAGGAAAGACUGGGUUAGACACCAGGAGGAACUUCCCCGGCAAUGAAGUGUAGGCAGAGGGGGAGUGAAAGAGGAAAGCUAUGGACCUCCUUCUCUGUAAGAAGAUGCCUCUGGCGACACCUCUGGGUUCGUCCCAGAGGUCCGGGUGGUGGCUGUGGAAGCUGAGAUCCCGAGAGAAAACGCAGCCUCCCAUUUCACAGGCCUGGAUAAUCUCGUCUCGGAUGGAGUCGGAAUUAACAACUAAUGGAAGGAGUAAGGGAAGAUCAUCGCCCGGGCGGCGAGCAGAGGUGGCCCGCGCCUCGCGGGGAGGAUGAGCGCACUCCGGGGGAUUAUUCAAGAGCUUGGCUUCUGGAAUCAGACGCAGAGUUCUGGUUUCGGACCCGCCGUGCCCAGCAACAGAACUGCAGGUGAGCUGCGUCCCCUUGCCAGCCCUCAGUCCUCACCUGUAACGUGGGGCUGAGGGCAGCUGCCUCGGGUGUUUGAGGGAUCCUUGAGCUAAGGGCGUGUGGUGCCAGGGGCCCUUUGUGUGCUGCGUGACCUGCCAGCCCAGCAAG